UACGGAAGGCAGCAGUGGGGAAUAUUGCACAAUGGGCGAAAGCCUGAUGCAGCUAUGCCGCGUGUAUGAAGAAGGCCUUAGGGUUGUAAAGUACUUUCAUCGGGGAGGAAAAAACAAAACUAAUAAUUUUAUUUCUUGACGUUACCCGAAAAAGAAGCACCGGCUAACUCCGUGUCAGCAGCCGCGGUAAUACGGAGGGUGCUAGCGUUAAUCAGAAUUACUGGGCGUAAAGAGCACGUAGGUGGUUUUUUUAAGUCAGAUGUGAAAUCCCUGGGCUUAACCUAGGAACUGCAUUUUGAAACUGAAAUACUAGAGUAUCGUAGAGGGAGGUAGAAUUCUAGGUGUAGCGGUGAAAUGCGUAGAUAUCUGGAGGAAUACCUGUGGCGAAAGCGGCCUCCUAAACGAAUACUGACACUGAGGUGCGAAAGCGUGGGGAGCAAACAGGGAUUAGAUACC
rnacentral:rRNA from 1 species